AGAGUUUGAUCCUGGCUCAGGACGAACGCUGGCGGCGUGCUUAACACAUGCAAGUCGAACGGUAAGGCCCUUUCGGGGGUACACGAGUGGCGAACGGGUGAGUAACACGUGGGUAAUCUGCCCUGCACUUCGGGAUAAGCCUGGGAAACCGGGUCUAAUACCGGAUAUGAGCUCCUGCCGCAUGGUGGGGGUUGGAAAGUUUUUCGGUGCAGGAUGAGUCCGCGGCCUAUCAGCUUGUUGGUGGGGUAAUGGCCUACCAAGGCGACGACGGGUAGCCGGCCUGAGAGGGUGAUCGGCCACACUGGGACUGAGACACGGCCCAGACUCCUACGGGAGGCAGCAGUGGGGAAUAUUGCACAAUGGGCGAAAGCCUGAUGCAGCGACGCCGCGUGGGGGAUGACGGUCUUCGGAUUGUAAACUCCUUUCAGUAGGGACGAAGCGAAAGUGACGGUACCUGCAGAAGAAGCACCGGCCAACUACGUGCCAGCAGCCGCGGUAAUACGUAGGGUGCAAGCGUUGUCCGGAAUUACUGGGCGUAAAGAGCUCGUAGGCGGUUUGUCACGUCGUCUGUGAAAUCCUCCAGCUCAACUGGGGGCGUGCAGGCGAUACGGGCAGACUUGAGUACUACAGGGGAGACUGGAAUUCCUGGUGUAGCGGUGAAAUGCGCAGAUAUCAGGAGGAACACCGGUGGCGAAGGCGGGUCUCUGGGUAGUAACUGACGCUGAGGAGCGAAAGCAUGGGGAGCAAACAGGAUUAGAUACCCUGGUAGUCCAUGCCGUAAACGGUGGGCGCUAGGUGUGGGGUCCUUCCACGGAUUCCGUGCCGUAGCUAACGCAUUAAGCGCCCCGCCUGGGGAGUACGGCCGCAAGGCUAAAACUCAAAUGAAUUGACGGGGGC
rnacentral:rRNA from 1 species